UGAGGAAUAUUGGUCAAUGGGCGAGAGCCUGAACCAGCCAAGUAGCGUGCAGGAUGACGGCCCUAUGGGUUGUAAACUGCUUUUAUGCGGGGAUAAAGUGCGGCACGUGUGCCGUUUUGCAUGUACCAGCAUGAAUAAGGACCGGCUAAUUCCGUG
rnacentral:rRNA from 1 species